rnacentral:rRNA from 1 species
UUUCUAGCUAUUUUAUUUGAGAUCUGACCUGCCCAAUGAAGUAUUUAAAUGGCUGCGGUAUAUUGACCGUACAAAGGUAGCAUAAUCAUUAGUUUUUUAAUUGUAGACUUGUAUGAAUGGUUUGACGAAAUAUUAACUGUCUCAUAUUAAAUUUUAAAAUUUAAAUUUUGAGUUAAAAUGCUUAAAUGUUAUUAUUGGACGAGAAGACCCUAUAGAUCUUUAUUUUUAAAUUUGUUAUAUUUUUUAGUUUAUAUUUUUAUAAUUAUUUUAUUUAUUUUGUUGGGGUGACAUUGAUAUAUAAAUAACUAUUUAUUUUAAUAUUCAAUUAUUUUUGUAUAUUUGACCUUUUAUUAUUGUUAAAAGAUUUAGAUACCUUAGGGAUAACAGCGUAAUUGUUUUUGAGAGUUCUUAUCGACAAAAUAGAUUGCGACCUCGAUGUUGGAUUAAGAUUAUAUUUAGGUGUAGAUGCUUAAUUAUUAAGUCUGUUCGACUUUUAAAUUCUUAC